GUAGACUUGGCAUAAACUGAGGGCACAUGUCCCUGAGGACCCAGCAGCAGUAUCUAUGUGGCAAAGUCUGAUAGGCCAUGAGCCAGGGCUUACAUCAGCACAGAAAGUGGGAGCUGUGCAUGGUGUGGUCAUUCCAAGACCUGUAUACUCUGCAACUAAUGGAAGUUGUGGGAGGGUCCUGGUCCAGAUAUUGGAGGAAAGGGGGACAGACAGAAUCUAAGAAUCCUGCUACACAACCAAGCUAGGCAGAGUAGACCAGAAAGCCUCUGCAAGACAGAUCCCAGGGUGGGCAAGAGUUCUCAUUCAAGCAGCAAGGCAACCAGACUUGCACAGAGAGGAAGAGAACCACCCCAAGGAGCUUCAAGUUCAAGCCAUGAAGGGACAGAGGCAAGGCCCUAUAACUGUGCUGUCUGAAGCUAGCAGCCACCACCACACCCCCCUCGGUCUUCCCACUGGUUCCCAGCCCCCAGACUACGUCUAGCUCCUCAGUGAACCUGGGAUGCAUGAUGUCAGGCUACUUCCCUGAGCCUGUGACUGUGUCCUGGAACUCAGGCUCCCUGACCAAUGGUGUGCUCACCUUUCCAUCUGUGCUCCAACCCUCGGGGCUCUACACAAGCAGCAGCAUGGUGACUGUGCCUGCCAGCAGCUGGCCUGGGCAGACCUACACCUGUAAUGUUGCCCACCCAGCCAGUGGCAGCAAAGUGGAUAAGACUCUUCCUAAUGAAGUUAUUCCUGGACCCACACCAUGCACGUGCUGCAAAUGUCCAACUCCUGAUCUCCCUGGGGGGCCAUCAGUCUUCAUCUUCCCCCCAAAGCCAAAGGACACUCUGAUGAUCUCCCGCACACCUGAAGUGACUUGUUUGGUGGUCGAUGUGACACCUGAGGAACCUGAUGUGCAGUUCAGCUGGUUUAUGGAUGACAAGGCAGUACAAGGUGCCAAAAACAAGGUAUCAGACCAGAAGUUCAACAGCACCAUUCGGGUGAUCAGUGCCCUCCCCAUAAGCCACCAGGACUGGCUAAAGGGCAGGGAGUUCAAGUGCAAGGUCAACAGCAAGGCCCUCCCUUCAGCCAUUGAGAGGACCAUCUCCAAGCCCAAAGGGCAGGUCCGAGAACCUCAGGUCUAUGUCCUGCCACCCCCUCGGGAUCAGCAGGGAAAGAAUGAAUUCAGCGUGACUUGCAUGGUCAUAGGCUUCUACUCUGAAGAAAUUAACGUGGAGUGGAAAUCCAAUGGAGUGCCAGAACAGGGUAGUAAGUACCACACCACACCACCUCAGAAGGACACAGAUGGCUCCUACUUCCUGUACAGCAAGUUGAAUGUGCACAAGAACCAAUGGAAUCAGGGAAACACUUUCUCCUGCAUGGUCAUGCAUGAGGCGCUGCACAACCACCUCACAGAGAAGACCAUCUCUCAUGUUCCUGGUAAAUGAGCAUCUGACACACCUGUACACAGGCUCCAGCAUCCAUGGAGAGCCUGACCCCUCCUGUACAUAACCUCUAGGCAUCAGUAUGAAAUAAAACACUCAUAACUGCCCUGGAA